rnacentral:ncRNA from 1 species
CCGCAACCAUUAAAAGAAUAGUGGCUUCAUGCAGUAAUGCAUGUCGAAUAACUUCGUUAAUUGCUGGAAACUCUCAAUAAGAGACAAUCAGCAGCGAAGCGUCUAUUGACGAACGUUCAACGACUAUCCCGUAAGGGAGUAGAGCGCAAGCUAAUGGCGUUCGAAAAGCGAAGCACCCAUUAUGUGUGGGUGGUGAUAUAGUCUACUCUGCAUGGU